rnacentral:lncRNA from 1 species
UAACGGUUCCAGAAUUUAAAUGAAGAUAUAUGCAUUAAAAAUCUCAAAUGCGAAAGCGUAAUAAAAAUUUUGAUUAACAUCCCUUACACAAUAACCAAAACGUACUCAAAACAUGAAAGAACAAACUAACUAAAAGAGAUACUCGAAAUAAGAACUAUAAAUAUAACUAUGGAGUCUUUAGGCGUCCCCUUCGCCGUCUUCCUGCGGAACGGGCUUGGGAACAAUGUCUUCCUGAUAUGAAAUGGUUAAAUAAGGAAUGAGCUACACUAGCCCAGUAAAGACAUCACACUAUCUCACCGCCACGGAAGUAAACAAAAAAAUAACCAAUGGAGCAUAAUUUAUAACAAACUCGUUUAUUAACAUAUAAACCUUUGCUGUCCACUUACCUCGGUGAGAUCCAUGAAAAUAACAUAUGAAAGCAAUAACAUUAUUAUCAUCAUGAAAUCAUAUAGACUUUAUAACAUAAUACUUAUCAUGCCAUUGCAUUUCAAUCAUUAAACAACAUAUUUUCCUCUUUAACCAGCCUACUAGUAUCUAUGGGGAUCCAUAGGGGUCCCGCUACCCGUGAACCCUUAACAUUUAUAACCUAAUUCCAGGGCCGUCCCCAUACGCCGUCCGGUAUGAGGGUGAAACAGGCCGUCCCCAUACCUCGUCCGGUAUGAGCGCCAAAACACAUAAAGUCUCCAUACCCCGUCCGGUAUGAGAGAU